CUUGAAGGCACAAAAAAACAGCAGCAAAACACAUUUGAAACUGUGCAAAAGAAGUUGUAGCAUAAGCUUUCAUGGACUUGAGUCUAUUUCCUCAGAUGUAGAGUGAAGUGUUACAACUCCGUGCUUCUGAAGAAGUAGGCCAAGUCUACGAAAGCCUCUGCUACAACAUCUUUUGCACAGUUAGUCUCAAAGAUGCUACAAGAUCCCUUUUCUGUAACCAAGGAUCUUGUUUCUGAGUGAAGUGCCACCCUCCAUGCCCUUCAGCUUUAAUAAGGAGCACUGUUAUCUGGGAGUCGGGGUAGCAUGGAGUAGUUGUUAAGCAUGUAAGGGCCUUGAGAAGCCAGGCUUUGCAAAAAGGAUGCAGGUGUUUGAUAUAGAGUCAUAAUAUCCACUAAGCUACAGAGAGCAUUCGUUCUGUUCUUUGUUAAGUCUGGCUGCAGUUGGAGUGCUCUGUCCAGUUGUGGAGCUAGACUUCUUAUGAAAGAUGUUUAAACAUUAGCAGGUAUCCCAAGAAGAGAAAGAGAUGGUGAGGAGUAUAGGAUCCAAGCCUCGCAAGGAAUAGUUGAAAAAAUGUACUUUUUUAAAUGGGAAAGACAGUAUUAGAAAGAGACGAGAGUAGUAUUCAAAUAUCUGAAAAGCUUCCAUGCAAAAUAUAAAGUAUGGGCAUGUGUUUUCUGUUGAUUUAGGAAGCAGUAUGAGAAGCAGUACAUGGAAUUUGUGGAAAAGUGGGUUUUGGCAAAACAUUAGAAGUUUCCCAACAGAGUUGUUUCACGGAGGAGCAGACUGCCUCAGGAGGGGUACAUGCUCCUUUUCUGGAGGUAUUUAAACACAGGCUGGGUGGCCACUUGUUAAGGGUUCUCUGGCUGUAUCCUGUUUUCCAAAAUGAGUGUGUGGUCAACAGAGAUCCCGCUUAUGAUCUGUGGUCCCAGGUCAAAUCAAAUGCCCCUCUAUCAGAAGUGUACUUGAUUUAAAUUUAGUCCAGAAUAGUAGGUGGUGGAAACGCUUCCCUAUAAUAAUGGAAAAACAGCAUUUUUUCUCCUGUAACUUUUAAUAGAAUGUGUAUGCUUUGACAUAAUGUACAUUGUUUUAUAUUUAGAAGGCAAACAUUCUAUCAAGUAUGACAAUGUUUAUAAUGCAACUUGAUUUAUCUCAUUUUGGAGUAAUCCCCGGCGUGAAGGCUGUUUGCAUAUGAACAUGUCAACUCUACCUUCUGGGAGCACCUCUUUUUUCUUCAGGUGGUGAUGGUACAAAGGAGAACAGAGCACGAAAUGCCUGUUAACUAUACCAGGUAAAUGCUGAUCAGAGAACAAUCUUCAGGUACUGCAUUGAGAAGACUAUCAUUAUAUUUCAUUUGUGAUAUUUUUUUCCUGAUGUAAUUCUGGAUUAACCUUAGCAAUUUAAUUAAAACCUAAUUUUCAGACAUUA